rnacentral:rRNA from 1 species
CCUACGGGUGGCAGCAGUGAGGAAUAUUGGUCAAUGGACGCAAGUCUGAACCAGCCAUGCCGCGUGCAGGAAGACGGCUCUAUGAGUUGUAAACUUCUUUUGUACGAGGGUAAACGCAGAUACGCGUAUCUGUCUGAAAGUAUCGUACGAAUAAGGAUCGGCUAACUCCGUGCCAGCAGCCGCGGUAAUACGGAGGAUUCAAGCGUUAUCCGGAUUUAUUGGGUUUAAAGGGUGCGUAGGCGGUCGGAUAAGUUAGAGGUGAAAUCCCGAGGCUCAACUUCGGAAUUGCAUUUGAUACUGGUAGGCUAGAGAGCAGUUGAGGUAGGCGGAAUGUAUGGUGUAGCGGUGAAAUGCUUAGAGAUCACACAGAACACCGAUUGCGAAGGCAGCUUACCAAGCUACUUCUGACGUUGAGGCACGAAAGUGUGGGGAGCAAACAGGAUUAGAUACCCUAGUAGUC